rnacentral:rRNA from 1 species
AUUGAACGCUGGCGGCAGGCCUAACACAUGCAAGUCGAGCGGAGCGGCGGCCGGGUGAGUAAUGCCUAUGAAUCUGCCUGUUAGUGGGGGAUAACGUCCGGAAACGGGCGCUAAUACCGCUUACUAUCAGAUGAGCCUAGGCCGGAUUAGCUAGUUGUGUGGGUAAAGGCCUACCAAGGCGACGAUCCGUAACUGGUCUGAGAGGAUGAUCAGCCACACUGGAACUGAGACACGGUCCAGACGCCUACGGGAGGCAGCAGUGGGGAAUAUUGCACAAUUGGCGCAAGCCUGAUGCAGCCAUGCCGCGUGUAUGAAGAAGGCCUUCGGGUUGUAAAGUACUUUCAGCGGGGAGGCGUUACCCGCAGAAGAAGCACCGGCUAACUCCGUGCCAGCAGCCGCGGUAAUUC